rnacentral:antisense_RNA from 1 species
CCAAAUGGACGAGCCGUGCGUGGGGGGCUUCACCGCCCCGCCAGCCCAGAGACUGGUCCGCCAACCCGCACGGCUCCGUCCACCACU